AGUUCCUACGGGGCGCAGCAGUGGGGAAUAUUGGGCAAUGGGCGCAAGCCUGACCCAGCAACGCCGCGUGAAGGAAGAAGGCCCUCGGGUUGUAAACUUCUUUUGUCAGGGACGAAGAAAGUGACGGUACCUGACGAAUAAGCCACGGCUAACUACGUGCCAGCAGCCGCGGUAAUACGUAGGAUGCGAGCGUUAUCCGGAUUUAUUGGGUUUAAAGGGUGCGUAGGCGGACGCUUAAGUCAGCGGUAAAAUUGCGGGGCUCAACCUCGUCGAGCCGUUGAAACUGGGUGCCUUGAGUGGGCGAG
rnacentral:rRNA from 1 species